UUUUUUCGGUAGUACGAACUUUCUAAAUUGUGCUGGAACUGCAUUAAAAUGCAUUGAGACAUAUAUAUGAUUUUUAUAAGUUUUGACACUGUGCAUUUGAUUUAAUAAGAUAAUUUCUUACGAAAUUUAUUUAAGAGAUUUAUUGUGUAAUUCUUUACAAAUACAAUAAGAAAAUGAAGAGAGAAGAAAACAUCGGCAGCGAUAUUUCAACGAAGUCGACUUCCAACAAAGUUCUAGGAGCAUAUCAUAAAUCAGUUGACUAUAGUCUCUUUAAGCGUCACUUCAGAUGUGGCACAAUAUGUCCUAUCCUGAAGCGUAUUUCUAAUGGAGAUUGCGAAGAUAUUUUUUCAAGUGCCGGCGUACAUAUUGCGAGGCAACGGUUUACACUUGUAAAGAAACUACCAGUGCCAGCAAAUGACUCGGAAACUAAAGACUCUGAUAAAAAUUUGAAAUCUUAUAAAACACCCUCACUUAUUCUUAAAAAGAGUAAUAGUAAUACAAUUGUCAAAUCACAGUCUAUGGAACUUUUGACUGCCUCUAAGGAUUCUAUAAACUCCUCAAAUCUUUAAUAAUAAAUCGUUAGAGCACAGAGUCAAACUUCAAAUAGUCGAUAUUCAUUAUAGUACUAAGGACAGCAGUGUAACUGUAGUGAUUGAAAGUCAUUACAAGAUGUUGAAGGAAUGAACCAUAUAUCACUACUGAUGAAUGCAGCGGCAUGCCUCAUACUAGUACAAACAAACCAAAUAGAAAACAGGGAACAGGGAACAGAACUGACACCAUGGAUGACAGGAGUUGUUUGCUUGACUCGAAAUCUAGUCUCAGAUCAUGAUAUUCACAUGAAAAAACGCAAAUUUAAUUCAAGUAAAAUACAAGUUAGGGGAAAUACUAUAAUCUGGUUUCAAGUUCCAAGUUCCUAUAUUUAAAAGCACAAUUGUGCGAAAUUGAUAUUUUAUAAACUAUUUGGACAAUAAAUGUAUUACUAACCAGCAA